CUACCUUUGCGCAGUUAUGGUUCCGGUUCGGGCUUCCGCACCGGAUGAAAAGGGAAUCCGGUGAGAAUCCGGAACAGUACUCGCUGCUGUAUGUCCCCUCCUUCGGGAGAAGUCGUUUACCGCACUCUUUGCCACUGGUUUCGAUACCGGGAAGGCGCGGUGAACGGGACGAGUCAGAAGACCUGCCUUAACGACAUGGAUUUGC
rnacentral:ncRNA from 15 species